AUGGGCUCCCACCCAGGGACCACGCCCGGGCAGAAGGAGCCCUGCCCCUCCCUCAGCAGGGGUGGAUAGAAAAGGAAACACUUCUACUGACUGUCUCAGAGAGAAACGGGGUUGAGAAAUGGGGAAGGGUCAUUCCUAGAUGGUAGGGACCUUUAGGUACACGGAAGUGAGCCCAGCUGGCCAAGGGGAAGAAAGGCCACUGGGCCGCUGGGCAGUGGCCAGCCUGAAUGUCUGGGGCCGCCCCGAGGGGAGGGGGGCGGGUCCUGCCACUCUUGUGGAAGGAGCCAGCAUGAAAGCAGUUUCAUUUGCUGCAAUUUUGUUGGUCAAUUUAUGAAUUUAUACCUUCAGUAUAACCCUUUCUUUUUUCUUCAUGUUUUGCCUCCACCAAUGAGAAAAUGGGGGUGGGGAGGUGGGAGAGCAGGGUUCUAGGGAGUGGAGAGGCCGGCCGGAGACAGUUGAUUGGGACCUUGCACUGACACAUCCUUCGACAUCUUUGUCCUGGCUUGCGGCAGGGUGAACUUUUUGCUUCCUUUGAUAGAAAGCAUUCCUGCUGCCCGGAAAGCCGCCUGCCCCAGUACCUUUAAUGAAUGACGCUCAAGGGGAAGCCACGGCUCAGUCUGUUGGCGGGGAUUGGCUAAAGACUACAUCACUCUGACCCGCCCAUUCCUGCAGCCAAUCAGGAGGCUGUCAGGGAGGCAGCGACGAACUGGCGCGGGGACCUCGUUGAGACUUUGGAGGUCCUGGCUGAGAUCUCGGGAUCCCGGGCAGCACAACUGUUUCGCUGAUGCAGCCUCUGCCCAAGAGUCCGGACCACACAGUUCCACUGUUCCCUCUGUCCUGCGCAGCCCACCUUCGGUGCUCACGGAUACCGCGCUGCUCAGAACCCCCUGCGCUCAUAAAGGGAUCUGCAGAGGCGAGAGCCAGGCUCGGAGCCAAAUGCUGCAUCCUUCCUCCCCGCUGUUUCCUCCAACCACCUUCUCACAGGACUGAGGACUCAGCAGCAUCGCAGGGCAGGGUGCUGCAGCAGCUGAGCCUGCCAAGGGCCGCUAAGCUGGCUCCCGAGUCAGGGAACCAGGAUGGGGGCGGUGAGGUGGGGAGGCAGGGUGCCCAGGAGUGUGGCCAGGUGUGCGCAGGGCUUUUAAACGUUAGCUAGGAUUUCCCCUGAGCCACAAUUUUUCCAGAGAGCACUGUGUCUAAUUGUUAGCAAGGCAAAUCCUGACUUAAGGGGGCUUGGGGAGUGGGGAGGUCUGUGGGGUUCCUCAGGGAACCUAUAGCAAGUGGAGGCUGUGCAGGGCAGGGCUCUGGACCCCCUAGAGCUAGGGGACUGUGUCUCCUCUGUGCCCAUCUCGAAGCCCACUGUCAGAGGCAUAGUAAGCACUCAGCAUGGCAGGGUGUUGAUGGCUGCUCUUGGGAAUCUCUCCCAAAAGGUAGAGAUGGGGCCAUACUAUGGCUCAGCUGGUACCAAAGUCACAGACAGCCUAGCACGAGCCCAGGGCAGAACAACUGCGCAACGCAGUUCUCUGAUGCUGAAUGCCAUGUCUUCAGCACUUUCUCUGCAUGCUGGCACCCUUCUGCUCAGGUGGAAAUUUUACCUUGGAGUGGGAAGGAGCCUAGAGACAUUCUAAUACAACCCUUUGAAAUUGAGGUUCAGAGAGGAAAAGUGACUUGGAAAUGUAGCCAACCCUGCUCCUUGGGAAGGAGAGUCUGGACCUGAGGCUUGGGCUUGAGAGACCUAUUGGGAAGUUGGCUGUUCUCCAGGACACUGUGCCUUCUGCCCAGGACUCUGAUUUGGGGAGCAGGCACUAGAUUCACUGAGCACGGCAUAUGUCCCUGGGCUUGGCCAGCAGAGAGCUCUGCAAUGGGACAGCCAGGAUGGCUUGCUGAGCAAGACUAGCAGAGGAUCUGAGCAAGUUUGUAGAUCACUCUCUUUAUACCCUUGCUAUAGCCACUUUCCUCAAAAGCCCCCUAAAGGGCCUUGUGUGCUUUCUUUGUCCUCCCAAGGAUUCCUGUGACAGGAAGUGGAGGAUUGCAGUGAUGCUGGAGGACCUCAUCCUGUGGGGAGGGACCCUGAGAGCAAGGAAACUUGCUCCUCCAUGAGUGCUCAUGAGAGCAUUUCCUGAAUUCCAAGGGCUGUGCUAAUACAGGAGGACAGUGGCAGCCCAAAGGCCGUGCAGGGUGGCAUCCGGGCACAGUGCUGCAACUGCUCCCGCUGAAGUGCCCUGGAGGUGUCCACAGCCGUCCACUCAGUCCCACCACAGCCCUGGUACAACCCUGUCUUAAUGAGAAGGGCAACUACCAGAGAGCACAGUGUAAGCUACUAAGCACAUGCUCAGCCUAGGAGAUGCUUGAGCUGAAACCUAAGCGUAGGUAGCAGCCACCAGGUAAAGCAAGAUGAAGGGUGGGUGGGGAGUGCUUCCCACAGAGGAGAGAAAGAACACAAGGGUCCAGAGGCAAAGGGUGAGUGAGGAUCUGAGGGGGUGGUGACAGCCAUGGCUGGACCCCCUGUCUGGGGCUGGUCUCUGGCAGGGGAACCCAGGCAAGCUGGUGUAGUACACAGCAGAAGCCAUCCAAGUUGCCCACACAUAGGAUAGUGUGAUUGGUCUGUAUUUUGCAGCAGUGACUCAGCUAUAGCUUCAUUGCAGGAUGGGGUUGGAAGAAGCCUAGCUGAAGCCAGUGGGAGGUUCCCCAGGUGGCAUAAGCAAGAGGCGAGAAUGGCCUGGCCUUGGGCAAGAGAGGGUGGGAUUGGGAAAUUAGUUGAGAUGUAGCCUCCGUGGGGGUUUGGGAUGGAAACAGUGUGGAGGAGAGAGAAGAAUCAUGGGAAACACUCUGGCCUGGCUGAGAGAGGAGGCUUGGCAGGUGGGGAGACUGGGAGACAAUGACUGUCCAGGCUGAGGACUGCAGGACCCAGGUACUGAAGGAUCGCUGCAUCAGAACACUAACCCUCAGGUCUCCAGGAGACCUGAUGACUGUCAGGUCUGGCCCAGUGUUAUGGUUUGUGUCUAGAUGUCCCGCAAAGUCUAAUGCAGUCAUGAGGAGGAUGCUUUUCAGAGGUGGCUGAAGCUAGAGCUUGUGACUGAUUUAUGGUCUAAUGCUGGGAUAAGGGUUGUGAGUGCUGCACCCACCCUAGGGGGGUGCACACCCACCCUAGGGGGUGACCUGCAUACAAGAUAGGAAAUGGAAAGAGGCUUUUCCACUCCCCCUCUCUUACUGCUUUUGCUGUCUUUUGCUGCCAUGAAUGGUUGCCCCUUGCUGUGUGCCUUCCUGCCUUGGAGCCAGCUGAUGGUGGAUUGAAAUCUGUACAAACUGUAAGCGAUAAUAAACCUUUCCCCAUUUAACGUUGGAUGACCAGUAUUUUGUCUCAGCAAUGAGAGAAAAGUAACUAAGACCCCCGGCUUUACACUUAUCCCCCCCCCCCCCGCCAGUGUCACUAAGUUAUUUCUCCCUCUUGGAUCCUCUGGGCAUUUUUGGAUCUGUGCCUUUGCACUGGGGAGACAGAGAUUAAUCAGUCAUAUGCUCUGCCUUCAAGAAGGAGCCAUGUCAACAGGGAAUGCUAAUGCAAGGCCAAGGCGCUAUGACAGGGAAUGACAUCUUAGAGAAGGGGUACCCGUCGCAACAUUGGCAGCAUCCGCAGAGGGCACUGCCAGAGAGGAGGAAACUGACAGAGAAAGACCUUACAGUGUGAAGCACAAAGGCAGGAGUGCUAAAGAAACCUGAGAGACACAGACAAAGACAAGAGAGUACAAAGCUCCAAAGACACUAACCAGGUGUCUAAAGCCCAGAGAAGUUAAGCAGCUUGGCCAAGGUCACACAGCUCACUGGCAGAAAGAAUGAGCUCAGCCCUCAUCAGUGUGUGUUAUGUUUUCAGUAACUUUUUUGCUCUAGCCUUCCUGAUCCCUUUUUGCUCUUUCUCCUACCCCCAGCUUGUGCCUGGCCUAGAAAAAUACACAAGUCAGGGGCAGUAAGGUAUUUCCUAGGGCUGGACUUACUUGGUAAGAGGAUCUAACUGACCCUUGACAGAUUCUCACUUUCCUUGGCCCAAUCCAACUAGCCUAGCAUGCAAAUCUACUAGGAUCAUAUCUAUGUGCGUGCGUGUGUGUGUGUGUGUGUGUGUGUGUGUGUGUGUGUGUGUGUAUAAGACAGGGUCUUGCUAUGAAGUUCAGGCUGGCCUUGAGCUCACUUUGUAGCCAAAGCUGAUCUCAAACUUGCAACGAUCCUGUCUCCGGACCGCUGGGAUUAUAGGCAUGUGCCACUAUGGUCUGCAUCAUAUCUAUUUUUUUUUAAAAUCUUUUUAUCGGUACCGGGGAUCGAACUCACGACUGCCUGCUUGCAAGGCAGGUGCUUACGCCACUGAGCUAAAUUCCCAGCCCCCAUAUCUACUUUUAAAUAAAAGUCUAUAGAAUCAGUCAAAAUCCUCUAUAACUCUCAAUAUCCCAUUCAGCCUGUCAGAAUUAAACCAAUUUUUUCCCCCACACCAAAGCACACUGGGUGUUAUGGAUUUAUUGUCCUGAAAUGGAACUACAGUCCCUUUGAGUAGGAGGGAGAAAGCAUCUUUUUUCUUUUUGGUUCUCUUCUGCUUGGUUGCUUUUGAGUAUAAUAGUUACUAAAGAAAAAAAAAGAUACUCAAGUUGGGUGUGGUGGUGCACACCUGUAAUCUCAGCUACUUGGGAAGCUGAGGAAGGAGAACUGAAAGUUAGAGACCAGCUCAGUAAGACCAUAUCUAAAGAUUAGAAAAUAAAAGGGCUAGGCAUUCAUUUACUUCUCCCUGAGUUCAAUCACCAGUACAGAGCACACAAACCAGAACACAAUGAAACGAAACAAAACAAAACAAAAGUUACUCAAUGAGCUCUUAAGAUGUCCAAGAUGCUCUACUCGAUGCUGGAGAAAGGCUACAAAAAUGAAUAUGAGAUGGGUCCUCAAGGAGCGGAGACAUCUGGGCCAAGUGUGCCCCAGAUCAUGGCUGUGUUUAGUGGGCCAUCACCCAGUAAUAAAGAACUCCCACCGCACAGAGAGAGCAUUCUACAUUUUCAAUUGUUAAGUAAGCUAAGAUCUCCCCCUGACAGAUUUCCUACUGUUUUGCCUAGAAUGAUGGAGGUCAUGCAUCUAAUUAUUUUUCACAUGCCAGCCCUCUCAUGUUUAAAAUGUGUUUUCCUGUCUACAUUUUCUUCAUCGGACCCCAGCUCAUCCUGCUCUCCGUUUUUCAGAGACCUCAGAGCACUCAUUUUUCCCCCACAGAGCAGUGCCCAGAACCAAGCCUGGGCACUGCCCCCAGGAGUCAGGAUGGACGCCCAGGCCGCUGGCUCCCUUGUCCUGCAAGGUCUGCUGCAGACACUGCUCACACUCAGUGGACACCACGGCCUUUCCCCCCGGACAAAGCUGCUCAUACCAGUGCUGCAGACUUUUCAAAGCUCAGAGUGGAGCUUUAAAUUUCUUUCUAUUUCAUGUGACUUUUUCUACUGAAACUAUUGCUUUGCCCUGAGAAGUUUCUGUUUUUGUUUAACCUUGGACUCUGCCUUGAUAGGUACCAGCUGUUCUCCAGCUAUACGUCCUCAAAAUGUUUGGAAAAUGGAAUUUUCAUGCCUUUAUCUGUCCUGUGCCUUAGCAAAGCUGCUGCCCUGGACAGGACCAAGCACAGUGUUCCACUUGCCUCACCAAGAAUUGGCACUGAUAGGAAAAUCGAUGGGGUUUUUGGUUUUUGUUUGUAAAUUCUGCUUGCGAACAAUCCCCCUGACUCUGAUGUAUUGGCAUUUAAUAGCUAUUGUCCACCUAGACACAAUGGGAGACUUUGUCAAAAUGCUUUACUGAAAGCCAGAAACGCAGUGCCUGCCCUGAUUCAGGAUAAUAGCUUGGCAAUAAUGCCCGAAGAAAGCAGCGAGGUUAGUUUGGUUCUCUGUACUGGUAGCCUUCUCACCAGUUGCCUUUCCCUACAGGCCACCUUGCCCACUGGGCCACAGCGCAGUUUCUUUAGGACUUACACAGUCUAGAGCCAGAAGAUCAUGGAGGGAACAUAAGAUGUAACUUCCAGUUUUGCUGACGCCCAGAGUGCUUCGCUACUAUUCCCAAAGCCACAGACAAGGACUGGACAUCCACAUCUCCAAGUUCAAACCUAUUUCUUAAUACCUUCACAUAAUCGUGUCUCUUUCUAAACAUGGGCACACACACGCCCCCCACACACUUGCUUUCCUUUGGGUCCUUUUAACUGUCCACUAAGACUUGGCAUGGCAUUGUGUCUGUAUCAGUUUCAUGUGGGUUCCAAGACUGAGCCCUUUCUUCUAAUCCCUCUACAGUAUCUGUGCUCCAAAAGGGACCCUGGGACUUCCCCAGCUGGAUUGGUCUGUGGAACGCUCAUCUACCUGGAAGUGACCAUCCACUUUGCACCACUUGCGCCCAUGUGUGUGUCUAGGCAUGGGACUCCCCUUCCGAUCUAGCUUCAACUCCCCUUGCUCUACGGUGUGCCUUUUCUUCCCCUGACCACAUGGAAAAAAUCCUUCUCCAUUACUGGCAUAACUUGCAUCCAGCGUCUGGAGGGAACAUCCAGUCUCCUCUCUUCACUCCGUCUCUUCCCCAGCCUGCCUGAGGUACUGAUGUGCGGUUUCUGAAGCUCUUUAGGGAACUGAUUACUACUCAGAGCUACAAACACCUUUAGUAACAGCCUUCUGCUUUCUUUGAUUGCUGGACCCUGUCUGGCACACGGUUCCCAGGAGUUGAUGCUCCAGAGCUCUGCCACGACGAUGGAGGUUGUUGCAUGAACGCUUAGCAUCAUUGUUCCUUGGAUAGGACCAUCACGAGGCACAUUCUGUACCAUCUUCCCAGAGCUCCAGUGGCAUCAAGCCCCAGCUAGUCAAAGCGGCAACCUGAUAAUUAAUGGACGCUGUCGGCUUCCUCGAAACUUGCACCUCAUUUCCCCACUCCCUGGGGGUACUUCUAGCUGUCUUCUUGUCCUGGAGAAACUACUUGCACUAAAAUAAACCAGACUGUUGUAAAGGC